rnacentral:tRNA from 1 species
GCGGGUAUAGUUCAAUGGUAGAACCACAGCCUUCCAAGCUGUUGAUGCGAGUCCGAUUCUCGUUACCCGCUCCA